AGUAUUCUCUGCUACGCUCACGCCAGCAACACCGGGCACAGGCAGUGGCUAUGCCCAGUUCACUCUCCAUAGAGACGGCAGUCUUGUCUACAAGAUAUACAUGACUGGACUACUUGGUCUGACGAUGCUACCAACCAUUCAACUUGAUGCCAGCUCAACCAGCAGCAGCCAACUCUUCUCCCAACUGAGUGGAGUGAUUCUGCUUGAAGCUAGCCAUGGAACGUACCGCGCUGAAGGUCGUCUAGCUCUCUCGGACUACACGAACGGCACAGAUAUUUACCAGUUUCAUCAUCUGUAUACAUCUGCAA